GGAAGUAAAAGUCGCAACAAGGUCUCCGUAGGUGAACCUGCGGAGGGAUCAUUACAGAGUUCUCGCCCUCACGGGUAGAUCUCCCACCCACUGUUAUCGUUACUGUCGUUUCUUUGGCGGGCCGCCGGGUCCCCGGCCGCCGGCGCCUAGCUGCCGGCGCGCGCCCGCCAGAGGCCUUCAAACUCUGAAUGUUAGUGUCGUCUGAGUACUAUAUAAUAGUUAAAACUUUCAACAACGGAUCUCUUGGUUCUG
rnacentral:misc_RNA from 1 species